rnacentral:rRNA from 1 species
AUUGAACGCUGGCGGCAUGCCUUACACAUGCAAGUCGAGCGAGUUGAUCCCUUCGGGGUGAAGCUAGCGGCGGACGGGUGAGUAACACGUGGGCAACCUGCCUCAUAGAGGGGAAUAGCCUUCCGAAAGGAAGAUUAAUACCGCAUAAGAUUGUAGCUUCGCAUGAAGCAGCAAUUAAAGGAGUAAUCCGCUAUGAGAUGGGCCCGCGGCGCAUUAGCUAGUUGGUGAGGUAACGGCUCACCAAGGCGACGAUGCGUAGCCGACCUGAGAGGGUGAUCGGCCACAUUGGGACUGAGACACGGCCCAGACUCCUACGGGAGGCAGCAGUGGGGAAUAUUGCACAAUGGGGGAAACCCUGAUGCAGCAAUGCCGCGUGAGUGAUGACGGCCUUCGGGUUGUAAAGCUCUGUCUUCGGGGACGAUAAUGACGGUACCCGAGGAGGAAGCCACGGCUAACUACGUGCCAGCAGCCGCCGUAA